AACGAACGCUGGCGGCGUGCCUAACACAUGCAAGUCGUGCGAGAAAGUUCCUUCGGGAGCGAGUAAAGCGGCGCACGGGUGAGUAACACGUAGGUAACCUGCCCCCCAGUCUGGAACAACUAGAGGAAACUCUAGCUAAUGCCGGAUGAGACCACGAUCCCUUCGGGGGUUGCGGCCAAAGAUGGCCUCUACUUGUAAGCUAUCGCUGAGGGAUGGGCCUGCGGGCCAUUAGCUUGUUGGUGAGGUAACGGCUCGCCAAGGCUGUGAUGGCUAGCUGGUCUGAGAGGAUGACCAGCCACACUGGGACUGAGACACGGCCCAGACUCCUACGGGAGGCAGCAGUGGGGAAUAUUGCGCAAUGGGCGAAAGCCUGACGCAGCGACG
rnacentral:rRNA from 1 species